UACGUAGGGGGCUAGCGUUGUCCGGAAUCAUUGGGCGUAAAGAGCGUGUAGGCGGCCCGGUAAGUCCGCUGUAAAAGUCAAAGGCUCAACCUUUGAAUGUCAGUGGAUACUGCCGGGCUAGAGUCCGGAAGAGGCGAGUGGAACUCCUGGUGUAGCGGUGGAAUGCGCAGAUAUCAGGAAGAACACCAACGGCGAAGGCAGCUCGCUAGGACGGUACUGACGCUGAGACGCGCAAGCGUGGGGAGCGAACGGG
rnacentral:rRNA from 1 species